CCUACGGGAGGCAGCAGUGGGGAAUAUUGCACAAUGGGGGAAACCCUGAUGCAGCGACGCCGCGUGAGCGAAGAAGGAUUUCGGUAUGUAAAGCUCUAUCAGCAGGGAAGAAAAUGACGGUACCUGAGUAAGAAGCUCCGGCUAAAUACGUGCCAGCAGCCGCGGUCAUACGUAUGGAGCAAGCGUUAUCCGGAUUUACUGGGCGUAAAGGGAGCGUAGGCGGCCGGCCAAGUCUGAUGUGAAAUACCAGGGCUCAACCCCGGGGCUGCAUUGGAAACUGGCAGGCUGGAGUGCCGGAGAGGCAGGCGGAAUGCCUAGUGUAGCGGUGAAAUGCGUAGAUAUUAGGAGGAACACCAGUGGCGAAGGCGGCCGGCUGGACGGUGACUGACGCUGAGGCUCGAAAGCGUGGGGAGCAAACAGGAUUAGAUACCCGAGUAGUC
rnacentral:rRNA from 1 species